AGUGAACGCUGGCGGCAGGCCUAACACAUGCAAGUCGAACGAACUCUUCGGAGUUAGUGGCGGACGGGUGAGUAACACGUGGGAACGUGCCUUUAGGUUCGGAAUAACUCAGGGAAACUUGUGCUAAUACCGAAUGUGCCCUUCGGGGGAAAGAUUUAUCGCCUUUAGAGCGGCCCGCGUCUGAUUAGCUAGUUGGUUGGGGUAAUGGCCCACCAAGGCGACGAUCAGUAGCUGGUCUGAGAGGAUGACCAGCCACAUUGGGACUGAGACACGGCCCAAACUCCUACGGGAGGCAGCAGUGGGGAAUCUUGCGCAAUGGGCGAAAGCCUGACGCAGCCAUGCCGCGUGUAUGAUGAAGGUCUUAGGAUUGUAAAAUACUUUCACCGGUGAAGAUAAUGACUGUAGCCGGAGAAGAAGCCCCGGCUAACUUCGUGCCAGCCGCCGCCGUAA
rnacentral:rRNA from 1 species